rnacentral:tRNA from 1 species
GGGUCGGCGGUCAAAUCCGGUUGGAUGGCAGGCUCGCACCUUCGAAGUCGCGAGUUCAAUUCUCAUCAGACCCA